ensembl:lncRNA
GUUAGCAGCAGGGAGGAGGUGGGCAAGGAUGGGCUGUGGGCACAGCGGGUGCUGACGGCGGAUUGGUGUACAUUUCGCCCCCCAGCUGUGCUGCGUCACCGCCCACAUCUCCUGCUGGGGGCUGCGCGCUGUGACAGCGCAGGGAGCUCCAUGGGCGGAGCGCUGCACGCAGAGCCCCAGCUCAGGUGUGAGGGGUCAGCGCUCACUGAGCCCCGUGAGGGGCUGCGAUGCGGCCCCAGCCUAUUUGUAGACAUUGCAAAUAAAGCUGACAGCACUGACAGAGAACAACCUGAGGACACCGCCUGCAGGGAGACCCCACCGCAGCUGCAGGCUCUGAAGUUGUUCAAUAAAUUCCUGGAGCCAAAUUGCAGCCAUCCCUCACUCCCCGGGCCCUGGGACAGGGAGAUGGAGGGCAGAGUCACGCGUUGUUAACCCCCACUUUCCUGCGCUGCCGGUGAUUCAUGAGACACGAAGGUUGGAGGAGAGCACUCAGAUCAGCACUGCCAGCCCAUCCCCGGCCGUGCACACUGCCCACGUCCCGCAGCGUCACUCGGAAGGUUUCCUUUUUGUUCCAUGGAUCCGUUCAGUUCCCUGCUUUGUUUUUAAAGAGAAAAAAAAAGAGAAAAUCCUGUCAUUAAUAAAUAAAUAAAUAACAAGAAUAAAAAGCCUCCUGGAAACUCUGCAGCAUUCUGCAAAAAUGACUGUGAAAUUUAUGGAACGACAGCUAAAUUGAAUGAGAUUAGGAAGAAAAUGGCCUGUCUAUUUAUGUGAAGAGUUUUCAGAGUUAUCAUAAUUAAUUACAACAAACAUUUCGUAAUGCACAUUAAAUGGAGGCUGGAGGCUCGGGCGGCUCCCAGCACUGCGCUGAUCACACAGCAGAGGGAGG